CAUGCAAGUCGAGCGGAGUGAUGGUGCUUGCACUAUCACUUAGCGGCGGACGGGUGAGUAAUGCUUAGGAAUCUGCCUAUUAGUGGGGGACAACAUUUCGAAAGGAAUGCUAAUACCGCAUACGUCCUACGGGAGAAAGCAGGGGAUCUUCGGACCUUGCGCUAAUAGAUGAGCCUAAGUCGGAUUAGCUAGUUGGUGGGGUAAAGGCCUACCAAGGCGACGAUCUGUAGCGGGUCUGAGAGGAUGAUCCGCCACACUGGGACUGAGACACGGCCCAGACUCCUACGGGAGGCAGCAGUGGGGAAUAUUGGACAAUGGGCGCAAGCCUGAUCCAGCCAUGCCGCGUGUGUGAAGAAGGCCUUAUGGUUGUAAAGCACUUUAAGCGAGGAGGAGGCUACUGAAGUUAAUACCUUCAGAUAGUGGACGUUACUCGCAGAAUAAGCACCGGCUAA
rnacentral:rRNA from 1 species